UUUAAACUAUGCGCUUCGUUUUGCAGGUUGAUGUUCGUUAUCAGCACUGAACGAAAAUAAAGCAGUAACCCGCAAUGUGUGCGAAUUAUUGGCAAAAGGCAACCACAGGCUGCCUUUUUCUUU
rnacentral:sRNA from 2 species